GCCGGCAUAGCUCAGCUGGUAGAGCAACGCAUUCGUAAUGCGUAGGUCGGGUGUUCGAGUCACCCUGUCGGCACCA
rnacentral:tRNA from 2 species